rnacentral:lncRNA from 1 species
UCAAGGUCACAUGGAUGCUGACAGCUCUCAGGUGUAUGGCCUAUUUGUUGCUGGGUAUUGUUGCCUUUCUUCCUGGUAUGCCAAUGUAUAUUGCUUCAGUUUUCAUAUUGAGAUUGAUACAAAACCUAGGCUCUGAAGUGCAAAUUGAGAAGAGGUAUGCUUAUUGUUGCCUUUCUUCGUGAUACCAGGUUUAUACAGCGGAGGAUCCUGAGUUGAUGCAUAUAUUGGCUCAAAAAGUAACUAGGCUCUGAAGUGCAGAUUGACAAGAGGUAUGCUUACUGUUGUCUGUGUCAGUCUAUCUACUCGAUCACCUUCAUAUCAACAAGUACAUUGGAGUUGUUUAUCUCAGUGCAUCAGAAUUGUUUCUUUCAUGCAGAGUUUCUGCUGCUAUUUGUUAAAUCUUAAAGAAACGUCUGAUCCUGAGGUUUACAAGUCCCCUUGUUCAAAUAUGAAAAUGAUUUAUUUGCAAACUUCAAUGCAAAAUGGUUAGUCAGUCUCGAACAACUGCAUCUAUAUAUACUUUCUAGUUAUGCUAUUGAUGCCACAUCCAGAUUACACUUUUCUUCUCUUUUUCUUUUCUUGGGAGUAGAAAGGUCUCACUCAAGGAUCGAGCAAAUGCAGUUCUAAUGCUUGUGUCGUCUAAUUCAAAGCAUGAUGACUUUAAAUGUUCAUGAAAUAUUUCUCCUCUUAAAUCUAAAAAACUAAUAUACAUAGAAGCAUGAAAAUUAGAUUUACUGGAUUUAUUGGAUUCUAUUUGUUGCAUAAUUUAUUGCAUAUUAGACAUAACGAUGCCAAUCUAUUAUAUACAGUAUCUUUGAACUAGGUUAGAAGUUGGCAUUUCUAUCAUGCGAGCUUCAGAGAAGGAUUAAUCUGAUUGUCCUUUGAUGUUCUAGAGUUUAGUUUGUUGGUUGCUUCAGUUAUGGUGGUGUUAUUUGGAAUAAUAAUGUCUUCAGGUGCUUGUAACAUCGGUAGAAUGGUGGAAUUCUAGCAGUCAUUAGUUUCAGUUUGUGUAUAAGAAAUACCAUCAACCUAUUAUUAGUGAGCUUUGUAUUGUUUUUCUCCGUGUUUACACCUCUCUUGCUCCAAGCCUGGUGAUUCAAUUCUAACAGAGGAGCUUGCUACGGCCAUCCAGGGGGCCAGGGCGAUUAGAUGCCCAUCACUCACGGCGGCAAGAAGUUCCGUGUCGAGUUGAUGAACCAGCACCAGCUGGGAGCCCGGAUGAAGAAGGUUGUCCCGCGGAGAAAAAGGAGAAGUGAUGAGAUGUUUUUGACAGCUAAUGGAUGAUGUUAUCUUAGUCUGUGAAUUUUUGUUUUGGUCGAUUUAGAAACCUUGUUUGAUGUCUGAAGAUCCCUUUUUGCCCACUGUUCAAACCAUCUCUUCAUUUUUGUGUAAAUGGUAACAAUACACUUCAAACAAUUAAGUUGUCAUCCCAAAAAAUAUUUUGUAAAAGGAUGUACUUAUCGCCUCAAUAAUCCUUAAUCGUCACGUAGAUUUCAUUUUCAUUUAAUUAUUUUUCAAAAUAGCGUAGAUAGUUUUCUUUAAAAUUACAAAUAUUUGAUAUAGUGUAUGUUAAUUGAGACAUGCGUUGCACGUGUUCCUUAAUGCAUCAAUCAUUUUCAAUUAGGACGGGAGUCUGAAAAAUGUUGUAAGGUUAUCGCCAUUGUUUGUUUAACUACAGAAGUCUCAAGAUUAGAAGCAUGAUCUUUUGUUUUUCAUGUUGCUCUACCU